UUGACAGCACUGGAAACUGAAGUCCUACUUGUCCACAGAACAGGUACAGCAUACCCAACAGCAGUUAAAAGCUUCCCCUGCACACUCACUGUAUUUCAAUCCUGAUUUUUGAGGGAUGAUUUCUGAGGGGGAGAAUAGUUCAGGACUUGUAAAAUUUAUCCAGAA
rnacentral:sRNA from 1 species